rnacentral:rRNA from 1 species
AGGGUGAUAGCCCCGUUCGGGGCGGAGGCGCCGAGGGCACGCUACCGUCUUCCGAGAGUCGGGUUGUUUGAGAUUGCAGCCCAAAGUGGGUGGUAAACUCCAUCUAAAACCAAAUAGCGGCACGAGACCGAUAGCGAACAAGUACCGUGAGGGAAAGGUGAAAAGCACUUUGGAAAGAGAGUUAAAGAGACCGCGAAACCGUUAGGAGGGAAACGCAUGCAGCCGAACGGGCCCUCGUCGGGUUCAGGGGGUCGCCGCGAGUCUCCGCCGCGCCGGGGCACUCUUCGGAGGUCUCGCGCGGCGGUCCRUCUCGGGGCGCCUCUGCACUCCCGGCUUCGGGGCCAGUCAAGCACGGUGGUGACCCGGGCGAGGAAGGCGGGCGGRCAGGUAGCGCAGCCGGCUUCGGCCGGAGGCGAACUUAUAGCCGGUCGUCCGGAACGCUCGGGGUCCACCGAGGAGAGCGGUGGCCGUCACGGUUCCACCCCAGCAGUGCAGGCCUCCCUCGGGGGGCCGGGGCGCCUCUGUCCGUUGAGCCUCCGCGUGGAAGCACUGCCCGCAGUGCC